CGCUCAGGUGGCUUAAGUGGUUACAGCGUUAGCCUCGGAUGCGGGAGGUCGCAGGUUCGAACCCCGGCCGAGUCA